AACGUAGGUCCCGAGCGUUAUCCGGAUUUACUGGGCGUAAAGCGUGUUCAGGCGGUCUAGCAAGUCGGGCAUGAAAUCUCUCGGCUCAACCGGGAGGGGUUGUCCGAUACUGCUGGGCUUGAGGGCAGCAGAGGGUGGUGGAAUUCCGGGUGUAGUGGUGAAAUGCGUAGAUAUCUGAAGGAACAUCAGUGGCGAAAGCGACUUCCUGGACCAAUACUGACGCUCAUGUGCGAAAGCGUGGGGAGCAAACAGGG
rnacentral:rRNA from 1 species